CCCUUAGACGUUCUGGGCCGCCCGCGCGCUACACUGACGAAGGCAACGAGCUUUCCUUUACCGAAAGGUACGGGUAAUCUUUUGAAACUUCGUCGUGCUGGGGAUAGAUCCUUGCAAUUUUUGAUCUUAAACGAGGAAUGCCUAGUAAGCGCAAGUCAUCAACUUGCGUUGAUUACGUCCCUGCCCUUUGUACACACCGCCCGUCGCUACUACCGAUUGAAUGGUUUAGUGAGGCCUUCGGAUCCGCGACUCGUUUGUGGAGAAGUUGGACAAACUCAGUCAUUUAGAGGAAGUAAAAGUCGUAACA
rnacentral:rRNA from 1 species